UACGGAGGGGGCGAGCGUUGUUCGGAAUUACUGGGCGUAAAGGGCGCGUAGGCGGCCUUCUAAGUCGGACGUGAAAUCCCUCGGCUCAACCGGGGAACUGCGUCCGAUACUGGAUGGCUUGAAUUCGGGAGAGGGAUGCGGAAUUCCAGGUGUAGCGGUGAAAUGCGUAGAUAUCUGGAGGAACACCGGUGGCGAAGGCGGCAUCCUGGACCGAGAUUGACGCUGAUGCGCGAAAGCCAGGGGAGCAAACGGG
rnacentral:rRNA from 1 species